AGGACUUGUUGAACAGAGUAUCCGUUCAUGAUGCAAUGCAUCACAAUAACAUUACUGCUGCUGGAGCUAUUGAUGCAGAUGAUGAUGAUGAUGAUGAUGAUGAUGCAACUCUCUCGUUCCAUGAUGCUGUAUCUGAUGAGAAAGAAUAUUCCCCUGAUUUCAGGUAUUCUGAUAUAGAUGAACUCUCCCUUGGUUGAGAUUUUACAAGAAUUCUUCACAUUUUUCCAAAAAUGUUUUAAAUUUUUAAAAAUAAAACAUUUAACGAAUAAAAAUUAUUCUUUAUAUUCUA